GUUGUACUCUCUCCGUUCGGAAUUACUUGUCUUGAAAAUGGAUGUAUCUAGAAUUAAAAUACGUCUAGAUACAUCCAUUUGUAUGACAAGUAAUUCCAAACGGAGGGAGUAUGUG
rnacentral:pre_miRNA from 1 species